GACGAAGGGGGCUAGCGUUGUUCGGAAUUACUGGGCGUAAAGCGCGUGUAGGCGGUUGCCAAAGUCGGGUGUGAAAGCCUUGAGCUCAACUCAAGAAUUGCACUCGAUACUUGGUGACUAGAGGACCGGAGAGGAUAGUGGAAUUCCCAGUGUAGUGGUGAAAUACGUAGAGAUUGGGAAGAACACCAGUGGCGAAGGCGGCUAUCUGGACGGUUUCUGACGCUAAGACGCGAAAGCGUGGGGAGCGAACAGG
rnacentral:rRNA from 1 species